rnacentral:rRNA from 1 species
AUGUUAGCGGCGGACGGGUGAGUAACACGUGGGUAACCUGCCUGUAAGACUGGGAUAACUCCGGGAAACCGGGGCUAAUACCGGAUGGUUGUCUGAACCGCAUGGUUCAGACAUAAAAGGUGGCUUCGGCUACCACUUACAGAUGGACCCGCGGCGCAUUAGCUAGUUGGUGAGGUAACGGCUCACCAAGGCGACGAUGCGUAGCCGACCUGAGAGGGUGAUCGGCCACACUGGGACUGAGACACGGCCCAGACUCCUACGGGAGGCAGCAGUAGGGAAUCUUCCGCAAUGGACGAAAGUCUGACGGAGCAACGCCGCGUGAGUGAUGAAGGUUUUCGGAUCGUAAAGCUCUGUUGUUAGGGAAGAACAAGUGCCGUUCAAAUAGGGCGGCACCUUGACGGUACCUAACCAGAAAGCCACGGCUAACUACGUGCCAGCAGCCGCGGUAAUACGUAGGUGGCAAGCGUUGUCCGGAAUUAUUGGGCGUAAAGGGCUCGCAGGCGGUUUCUUAAGUCUGAUGUGAAAGCCCCCGGCUCAACCGGGGAGGGUCAUUGGAAACUGGGGAACUUGAGUGCAGAAGAGGAGAGUGGAAUUCCACGUGUAGCGGUGAAAUGCGUAGAGAUGUGGAGGAACACCAGUGGCGAAGGCGACUCUCUGGUCUGUAACUGACGCUGAGGAGCGAAAGCGUGGGGAGCGAACAGGAUUAGAUACCCUGGUAGUCCACGCCGUAAACGAUGAGUGCUAAGUGUUAGGGGGUUUCCGCCCCUUAGUGCUGCAGCUAACGCAUUAAGCACUCCGCCUGGGGAGUACGGUCGCAAGACUGAAACUCAAAGGAAUUGACGGGGGCCCGCACAAGCGGUGGAGCAUGUGGUUUAAUUCGAAGCAACGCGAAGAACCUUACCAGGUCUUGACAUCCUCUGACAAUCCUAGAGAUAGGACGUCCCCUUCGGGGGCAGAGUGACAGGUGGUGCAUGGUUGUCGUCAGCUCGUGUCGUGAGAUGUUGGGUUAAGUCCCGCAACGAGCGCAACCCUUGAUCUUAGUUGCCAGCAUUCAGUUGGGCACUCUAAGGUGACUGCCGGUGACAAACCGGAGGAAGGUGGGGAUGACGUCAAAUCAUCAUGCCCCUUAUGACCUGGGCUACACACGUGCUACAAUGGACAGAACAAAGGGCAGCGAAACCGCGAGGUUAAGCCAAUCCCACAAAUCUGUUCUCAGUUCGGAUCGCAGUCUGCAACUCGACUGCGUGAAGCUGGAAUCGCUA